rnacentral:rRNA from 1 species
CCUACGGGAGGCAGCAGUAGGGAAUUUUGCGCAAUGGGCGAAAGCCUGACGCAGCAAUGCCGCGUGUAGGAAGAAGCAUCUUGGUGUGUAAACUACUGUCGGCGGGGACAAAUAAAGUGAUGGUACCCGCAAAGGAAGCAUCGGCUAACUACGUGCCAGCAGCCGCGGUAAGACGUAGGAUGCAAGCGUUGUCCGGAUUUAUUGGGCGUAAAGAGUUCGUAGGUGGCAAUCCAAGUCUAAUGUGAAAUCAUAGGGCUCAACCCUAUUCCCGCAUUAGAUACUGGGUAGCUUGAGCAAGGUAGGGGUCAGAAGAAUUCCUGGUGUAGCGGUGAAAUGCGUAGAUAUCAGGAGGAACACCGGUGGCGAAAGCGUCUGACUGGGCCUUUGCUGACACUGAGGAACGAGAGCUAGGGGAGCGAAAGGGAUUAGAUACCCCAGUAGUC